rnacentral:snRNA from 1 species
ACAUCUGUUAAAAGAUAA